rnacentral:tRNA from 1 species
GGCGCGUUCGUCUAGCGGUUAGGACGGAGCCCUCUCAAGGCUUAAACACGGGUUCGAUUCCCGUACGCGCUA